GACGAACGCUGGCGGCGUGCUUAACACAUGCAAGUCGAACGGUGAUCUUGGGAGCCUGCUCUUGGGUGAUCAGUGGCGAACGGGUGAGUAACACGUGAGUAACCUGCCCCUGACUCUGGAAUAACUUCGGGAAACCGAAGCUAAUACCGGAUACGACACAGAGCUGCAUGGCUACUGUGUGGAAAGUUUUUCGGUUGGGGAUGGACUCGCGGCCUAUCAGCUUGUUGGUGAGGUAAUGGCUCACCAAGGCGACGACGGGUAGCCGGCCUGAGAGGGCGAUCGGCCACACUGGGACUGAGACACGGCCCAGACUCCUACGGGAGGCAGCAGUGGGGAAUAUUGCACAAUGGGCGAAAGCCUGAUGCGGCGACGCCGCGUGAGGGAUGAAGGCCUUCGGGUUGUAAACCUCUUUCAGUAGGGAAGAAGCGCAAGUGACGGUACCUACAGAAGAAGCACCGGCUAACUACGUGCCAGCAGCCGCAGUAAGAC
rnacentral:rRNA from 1 species